rnacentral:misc_RNA from 1 species
GAAACAUUGUUCUUUGUUUAUUAAGCUACUGUUGCGUGUGAUAAUUCAAUUAGUUGUUUGAAGAAUAUAUUAAUGCUAGUGCUCAAUAGGCUAGUUUGUUUACUCGUGACAUAGAUUAAGAUUCAGGUUAUUUUAAUCUCGUCUUCUUACCUAUUAUUUUUUUAUACUACCUGUGGAUGUAAUGCAGAUUGCAACGUUAAGAUCUUUUCUUUUUUAACAUCAAUUGGGUAUCUUUAUUUCCACAUUUUUUUGUUGUAACAUGUUGGGUACUUCUUUUGUCAAUUUGGUUGUCUUUAUUCCCGCUUUUCCUUUUGCUUCUCCCACUGCCAUUUCCUUGAUCUUGAUUCUUGAACAUAGUGUUUAGCAGAAACCAAUUUUUUGUUUGGUUCAACAGUGGGUUACAAAAUAGCUCUCCCCCUUCUCAUAAAC